GAUGAACGCUGGCGGCGUGCCUAAAACAUGCAAGUCGAGCGGCAGCGAGUUCCUCGCUAAUGUUCGGAUUUGUUUACCAAUGAUGCAAGUAAUUUAGUCAGAGUAACAAAGUAACGACUAGUUGUUUAAGUUAAAAGGUAGAUUUAAUAUUCCGGAUAUGAGCGAGGAAUGUCGGCGAGCGGCGGACGGCUGAGUAGCGCGUAGGAACAUACCCCAAAGUGAGGCAUAACCGCCCGAAAGGGUGGCUAAUACCGCAUAUUGUCUUCGGAUGAAAGCUUUUAGCGCUUUGGGAAUGGCCUGCGUUUGAUUAGCUAGUUGGUGAGGUAAGGGCUUACCAAGGCGAUGAUCAAUAGCUGGUUUGAGAGAAUGAUCAGCCAGACUGGAACUGAGACACGGUCCAGACUCCUACGGGAGGCAGCAGUUGGGAAUUUUCCACAAUGGGCGAAAGCCUGAUGGAGCAACGCCGCGUGCAGGAAGAAUGCCUUCGGGUUGUAA
rnacentral:rRNA from 1 species